rnacentral:rRNA from 1 species
UACGGAGGGGCUAGCGUUGUUCGGAAUCACUGGCGUAAAGCGCACGUAGGCGGCUUAUUAAGUCAGAGGUGAAAUCCUGGAGCUCAACUCCAGAACUGCCUUUGAUACUGAUGAGCUUGAGUUCGGGAGAGGUGAGUGGAACUGCGAGUGUAGAGGUGAAAUUCGUAGAUAUUCGCAAGAACACCAGUGGCGAAGGCGGCUCACUGGCCCGAUACUGACGCUGAGGUGCGAAAGCGUGGGGA